rnacentral:snRNA from 1 species
GUUUGCUUUGGUGACACAUAUCCUAAAAUUAGGGAAGAUUAGCAUGAUCUCUGCUCCAGGAUGCAAUUCCAAAUUCAUGAAAUGUACAAUAUUUAA